rnacentral:rRNA from 1 species
UACGGAGGGUGCAAGCGUUAUCCGGAUUCACUGGGUUUAAAGGGCGCGUAGGCGGAUAGGUAAGUCCGUGGUGAAAUCCUGCAGCUUAACUGCAGAACUGCCAUGGAUACUAUCUAUCUUGAAUGUCGUGGAGGUUAGCGGAAUAUGUCAUGUAGCGGUGAAAUGCUUAGAUAUGACAUAGAACACCCAUUGCGAAGGCAGCUAACUACGCGAUAAUUGACGCUGAUGCACGAAAGCGUGGGGAUCAAACAGG